rnacentral:tRNA from 1 species
CCAAGCUGGUCGGGCAGUUGAUCGAACCCGCCGGUCCGGCCGAUCCCAAGCGGCCGCUGGUGGUGCUGGUCCAUGGCUCGGA